rnacentral:rRNA from 1 species
AGAGUUUGAUCCUGGCUCAGGACGAACGCUGGCGGCGUGCCUAAUACAUGCAAGUCGAACGCUUCUUUCCUCCCGAGUGCUUGCACUCAAUUGGAAAGAGGAGUGGCGGACGGGUGAGUAACACGUGGGUAACCUACCCAUCAGAGGGGGAUAACACUUGGAAACAGGUGCUAAUACCGCAUAACAGUUUAUGCCGCAUGGCAUAAGAGUGAAAGGCGCUUUCGGGUGUCGCUGAUGGAUGGACCCGCGGUGCAUUAGCUAGUUGGUGAGGUAACGGCUCACCAAGGCCACGAUGCAUAGCCGACCUGAGAGGGUGAUCGGCCACACUGGGACUGAGACACGGCCCAGACUCCUACGGGAGGCAGCAGUAGGGAAUCUUCGGCAAUGGACGAAAGUCUGACCGAGCAACGCCGCGUGAGUGAAGAAGGUUUUCGGAUCGUAAAACUCUGUUGUUAGAGAAGAACAAGGACGUUAGUAACUGAACGUCCCCUGACAGUAUCUAACCAGAAAGCCACGGCUAACUACGUGCCAGCAGCCGCGGUAAUACGUAGGUGGCAAGCGUUGUCCGGAUUUAUUGGGCGUAAAGCGAGCGCACGCGGUUUCUUAAGUCUGAUGUGAAAGCCCCCGGCUCAACCGGGGAGGGUCAUUGGAAACUGGGAGACUUGAGUGCAGAAGAGGAGAGUGGAAUUCCAUGUGUAGCGGUGAAAUGCGUAGAUAUAUGGAGGAACACCAGUGGCCGAAUGCGGCUCUCUGGUUCUGUAACUGACGCUGAGCUCGAAAGCGUGAGGGAGCAACAGGAUUAGAUACCCCUGUUAGUCCACGUCGUAAACGAUGAGUGCUAA